ACGCUCGACACCUACAGGAGGCAGCAGUGGGGAAUAUUGCACAAUGGGGGAAACCCUGAUGCAGCGACGCCGCGUGAGCGAAGAAGUAUUUCGGUAUGUAAAGCUCUAUCAGCAGGGAAGAUCAUGACGGUACCUGACUAAGAAGCUCCGGCUAAAUACGUGCCAGCAGCUGCGGUAAUCUGAGCGGGCUGGCAAGGC
rnacentral:rRNA from 1 species